GGUUAAGUUAGAAAGGGCGCACGGUGGAUGCCUUGGCACUAGGAGCCGAAGAAGGACGGGACUAACACCGAUAUGCUUUGGGGAGCUGUACGUAAGCGUUGAUCCAGAGAUUUCCGAAUGGGGGAACCCACUAUCUUUAGUCGGAUAGUAUCCUUACGUGAAUACAUAGCGUGAGGAAGGCAGACCCAGGGAACUGAAACAUCUAAGUACCUGGAGGAAGAGAAAGAAAAAUCGAUUUCCUGAGUAGCGGCGAGCGAAACGGAAAGAGCCCAAACCAAGAAGCUUGCUUCUUGGGGUUGUAGGACACUCUAUACGGAGUUACAAAAGAAAGUUAUAAAUGAAGCGGUCUGGAAAGGCCCGCCAAAGACGGUAACAGCCCGGUAGUUGAAAUGGCUUUCCCUCCAGAGUGGAUCCUGAGUACGGCGGAACACGU
rnacentral:rRNA from 1 species